GCCUUCGUAGCAUAAUCGGUAGUGCAUUCGACUCUUAUACAGAGUAGUCGUCUUGACUGGUAAAGAGACUUUUCAGAUUUAAUCGAAAGGUUGCGGGUUCGAGCCCCGCCGAGGGCU